GAGCCUAUACCGAACCAGACCGUGAUAUGAUGUAUUCUAAACGCUGCGUUUUUAAUUAUGCCUUCUAUCGCUCUCCUUCUCCGCCGUAGGUGCAUUUAGGGUUUCCAUGGAAACUGAUUCUUCUUCCUCAGGAUCCAGCAAUCAAUCGGCGCCGUAGUGAAUCUAGAUUUUCCAACGAGCUAUUCAUCUUCUUCCUACUGAUCAAGUAAUCAGUCGAUUACGGAAUCGUUGCUAUUAAAUUCUCUCUUUAAAUCAAUCUACACGAUAUCUCUUCAAAAGCGGUGGUGGUUCGACUAUAAUAAGAUGUUCUUCCACAGUGGAGGUUAGGUUAUUGCCUUUCUGAGAGGCAAGGAACAUCAGGCGAGGUGAUGAACUGAUGUCCGUAGAUACGCUCCUGCUUCCGUUUUAGAAUUCCGAUUGUAUGUAUAUAAGUUGAUUUUCCCCAAAUUAUAAGAAUUUUCACUGAGCGUUUAUUAGUUGUGACUUUCUACGAUUUACUUUCAAGCAAAUCUUAUGCCAGCCACCAUUGGUCCCUAUCUCACGGUGGGGUCGAUGUAUUCCAUAACCGGUUUCGAUGUGGCUCGGUGUAACCCAAACUUCAGGCUGUCGGACUCCUCUUCAUUUGAUUCAUUGGCAAACUCCUCUCUCCUUCUUACUGACUUCAAAGCCGGUCGAUGUAGCACAACCGUCGAAGUGCGGCGACCUCAUCAGUCUCCGCUUGCUUUCUCCAUCGACUUUAACCUAACGUUCUUGCUAAUACUGCUCACCUAAUCAUCAGCAGACGCGUCCGGGGAUGGGUCCACCAAUCGUUGUCUCACUGAUAUCGGCUUUGGUCCUCUCAGAUAUUUUUUACAAAUUUUCUAAAGCUUUAGAGAGAUCUCAAAACGUCGACAGCCAUGGCGACCACCAAAGUCCAGAGGAUUAUGACCCAGCCAAUCCUACGUAACUGAGUUUUAGGGGUUUCAAAGUAAAGUUCGAGUCCAUAUUUGGCUCUUUUGAGCGGAAAGAUCUGAAGACUUAAGAAAUAAUUAAUUGUUCAGGAAUUCAUGGUGUUCUCUUUGUGCUACUGAAUUCAUGGAGUACAAACACUACUGAGGGCUAUGUCUUGAUGCAUGCAUAAGCUACAUAGAUGGUGCUUAUGAUCUUUUCCAACUUGCCACGCUAAGCUAUAUGUUAAUUUAGCGCAGACAUAUUAAUCUUUAUGUUUUUCAUUUUCCUCUGCUGUUUGUCGACAGAAUUUGAGAGCUAAUAUGUAUUUGACUACAUAGAGCUUCAAGCUAUAUUUUCGAAGUGUGAAGAGAGUUUAUUUUUAGCAACUUAUUUGCUUCUUUUGAGAUAUCUAUAUUGAUCAUUAGAACAUAAUAACUUGCAGAAAAGGUAGCAAGAUGGAACAAGGUGACCGAGAAGUAUAAAAAAGUUGCUUUCGUCCUGGACCUGGAUGAUAGAUUUGGAUAUGUAUCUAUGCCCAGCUUAGGCCACAAAAACUUCUCACAGGCCGUAAACAUACAUGAUCGUGACACAAUCGCAUAUACUGGUAUCGUUGGUAUAAUGGAUCACUGGAAGUUAGAUUGGGAUGAGGUAGUGAUACCUCUCUCUGAAGGGUUAUGAGCCGAUUUGAGUCCAUAGGUGCAGGAUUAGUAAUGUCACGAGGUGAUACAGAUUUGAAGGAGUGGCUAAUAUAUUUCCACCUUUGUAUAACGAGUGACAGUUUGUAAAAGGUAAAUUCCAUGCAUGCUUUUUAAAUGUCGUAAUUAGCAGCUUAUGAUGAAUAGUUAUAUUUAAAUUAACUUCA